rnacentral:rRNA from 1 species
GAUGAACGCUGGCGGCGUGCCUAACGCAUGCAAGUCGAACGGGGUGUCUGAUCUUCGGACUGGCACUUAGUGGCGGACGGGUGAGUAACGCGUGGGUAACCUGCCUCAUACAGGGGGAUAGCAGUUGGAAACGACUGAUAAUACCGCAUAAGCGCACAGUACCGCAUGGUACAGUGUGAAAAACUCCGGUGGUAUGAGAUGGACCCGCGUCUGAUUAGCUUGUUGGCGGGGUAACGGCCCACCAAGGCGACGAUCAGUAGCCGGGCUGAGAGGCUGAUCGGCCACAUUGGGACUGAGAUACGGCCCAG